GGCUCAGUGGUCUAGGGGUAUGAUUCUCGCUUUGGGUGCGAGAGGUCCCGGGUUCAUAUCCCGGCUGAGACC
rnacentral:tRNA from 1 species